AGCAACAAAUGCCCUGCUUCCAGGAAAAGCCUCUAAGCCUCAGGUAACAUCAAAUCGUACCCCAAACCGACACAGGUGGUCAGGUAGAGAAUACCAAGGCGCUUGAGAGAACUCGGGUGAAGGAACUAGGCAAAAUGGUGCCGUAACUUCGGGAGAAGGCACGCUGACACGUAGGUGAAGUGGUUUACCCAUGGAGCUGAAGUCAGUCGAAGAUACCAGCUGGCUGCAACUGUUUAUUAAAAACACAGCACUGUGCAAACACGAAAGUGGACGUAUACGGUGUGACGCCUGCCCGGUGCCGGAAGGUUAAUUGAUGGGGUCAGCGCAAGCGAAGCUCCUGAUCGAAGCCCCGGUAAACGGCGGCCGUAACUAUAACGGUCCUAAGGUAGCGAAAUUCCUUGUCGGGUAAGUUCCGACCUGCACGAAUGGCGUAAUGAUGGCCAGGCUGUCUCCACCCGGGACUCAGUGAAAUUGAACUCGCUGUGAAGAUGCAGUGUACCCGCGGCAAGACGGAAAGACCCCGUGAACCUUUACUAUAGCUUGACACUGAACACUGGUCCUUGAUGUGCAGGAUAGGUGGGAGGCUUUGAAGUGUGGACGCCAGUCUGCAUGGAGCCAUCCUUGAAAUACCACCCUUUAAUGGCUGGUGUUCUAACGUGGGCCCCUGACCGGGGUUGCGGACAGUGUCUGGUGGGUAGUUUGACUGGGGCGGUCUCCUCCUAAAGAGUAACGGAGGAGCACGAAGGUUGGCUAAUCCUGGUCGGACAUCAGGAGGUUAGUGCAAUGGCAUAAGCCAGCUUGACUGCGAGCGUGACGGCGCGAGCAGGUGCGAAAGCAGGUCAUAGUGAUCCGGUGGUUCUGAAUGGAAGGGCCAUCGCUCAACGGAUAAAAGGUACUCCGGGGAUAACAGGCUGAUACCGCCCAAGAGUUCAUAUCGACGGCGGUGUUUGGCACCUCGAUGUCGGCUCAUCACAUCCUGGGGCUGAAGUAGGUCCCAAGGGUAUGGCUGUUCGCCAUUUAAAGUGGUACGCGAGCUGGGUUUAGAACGUCGUGAGACAGUUCGGUCCCUAUCUGCCGUGGGCGCUGGAAGAUUGAGGGGGGCUGCUCCUAGUACGAGAGGACCGGAGUGGACGCAUCACUGGUGUUCGGGUUGUCAUGCCAAUGGCACUGCCCGGUAGCUACAUGCGGAAGAGAUAAGUGCUGAAAGCAUCUAAGCACGAAACUUGCCCCGAGAUGAAUCUUCCCUGAGCCUUUAAGGCUCCUGAAGGAACGUUGAAGACGACGACGUUGAUAGGCCGGGUGUGUAAGCGCAGCGAUGCGUUGAGCUAACCGGUACUAAUGAACCGUGAGGCUUAACCUUACAAC
rnacentral:rRNA from 1 species